GGGCGGAAGCCUGAUGCAGCAACGCCGCGUGAGGGAUGACGGCCUUCGGGUUGUAAACCUCUUUUAGCAAGGAAGAAGCGUGAGUGACGGUACUUGCAGAAAAAGCGCCGGCUAACUACGUGCCAGCAGCCGCGGUAAUACGUAGGGCGCAAGCGUUAUCCGGAAUUAUUGGGCGUAAAGAGCUCGUAGGCGGUUUGUCGCGUCUGCUGUGAAAUCCCGAGGCUCAACCUCGGGCCUGCAGUGGGUACGGGCAGACUAGAGUGCGGUAGGGGAGAUUGGAAUUCCUGGUGUAGCGGUGGAAUGCGCAGAUAUCAGGAGGAACACCGAUGGCGAAGGCAGAUCUCUGGGCCGUAACUGACGCUGAGGAGCGAAAGGGUGGGGAGCAAACAGGCUUAGAUACCCUGGUAGUCCACCCCGUAAACGUUGGGAACUAGUUGUGGGGUCCUUUCCACGGAUUCCGUGACGCAGCUAACGCAUUAAGUUCCCCGCCUGGGGAGUACGGCCGCAAGGCUAAAACUCAAAGGAAUUGACGGGG
rnacentral:rRNA from 1 species